rnacentral:lncRNA from 1 species
GGAAAUUCUAACGGGUUUCCACUAGCCUGGGUGAGGCCGCGCUAAGGUUCUCUCAUUUCAAACCACGGAGAGCAUUAGAAAAUGUUCCCAGGCCGAUGCCUGAGGUGGCCCUAGUUAAACUGCCAACUGUCUCCAGAAUGACUACUUCAGGCCAAGAACACUGAGACAAGAGGCUCUGUUGCAUUCAGCCUCACGGAAUCAACAUCUUUGGAGAUGGCUCACAGGCCCAUCAUAUCCAUCUAAUCCAAAACAGAAGCUGUGAUUUUCCAGCCCAGUCUGCUUCUCCCCUGCAGCUCCUGAGCUCAGCGAGAACAGCCCACCCACC